rnacentral:rRNA from 1 species
GAUGAACGCUGGCGGCGUGCCUAAUACAUGCAAGUCGAGCGAACAGACGAGGAGCUUGCUCCUCAGACGUUAGCGGCGGACGGGUGAGUAACACGUGGAUAACCUACCUAUAAGACUGGGAUAACUUCGGGAAACCGGAGCUAAUACCGGAUAAUAUAUUGAACCGCAUGGUUCAAUAGUGAAAGACGGUUUUGCUGUCACUUAUAGAUGGAUCCGCGCCGCAUUAGCUAGUUGGUAAGGUAACGGCUUACCAAGGCAACGAUGCGUAGCCGAGCUGAGAGGGAGAUCGACCACACUGGAACUGAGACACGGUCCAGACUCCUACGGGAGGCAGCAGUAGGGAAUCUUGCGCAAUGGGCGAAAGCCUGACGGAGCAACGCCGCGUGAGUGAUGAAGGUCUUCGGAUCGUAAAACUCUGUUAUUAGGAAAGAACAAAUGUGUAAGUAUCUAUGCACGUCUUGACGGUACCUAAUCAGAAAGCCACGGCUAACUACGUG